UAGCCCAUGGAAACAAACAUAGCCUAAACAUUAGCUCUCAAAAUUAGCCCUGAGCUAGGCCCUGUUUGGUUCCAUGGGCUAAUGUUUAGC
rnacentral:misc_RNA from 1 species